rnacentral:rRNA from 1 species
GGAUGCGAUCAUACCAGCACUAAAGCACCGGAUCCCAUCAGAACUCCGAAGUUAAGCAUGCUUGGGCCAGAGUAGUACUAGGAUGGGUGACCUCCUGGGAAGUCCUCGUGUUGCAUUCC